rnacentral:rRNA from 1 species
CCUACGGGUGGCAGCAGUGAGGAAUAUUGGUCAAUGGGCGGGAGCCUGAACCAGCCAAGUCGCGUGAGGGAAGACGGUACUGAGUAUUGUAAACCUCUUUUGCCAGGGGAUAAAGUCGGCCACGGGUGGCCGUAAGAAGGUACCUGAAGAAUAAGCAUCGGCUAACUCCGUGCCAGCAGCCGCGGUAAUACGUAGGUGGCAAGCGUUAUCCGGGUUUAUUGGGUGUAAGGGGCGAGUAGCUGGGAGGGCAAGUCCGAUGUGAAAACUCAGGGCUCAACCCUGAUCCUGCAUUUGAAACUGGGGUUCUUGAGUGCUGGUGAGGCAAUCGGAAUUCGUGGUGUAGCGGUGAAAUGCGUAGAUAUACGGAGGAACACCAGUGGCGAAGGCGGAUUGCUGGACAGUAACUGACGCUGAGGCGCGAAAGCGUGGGGAGCAAACAGGAUUAGAUACCCGUGUAGUC